GUGCAUCUGCCAUGCCCUAUGGCAGCCAAGCAGGAUGUGUCAUUGUUAGUGUGAAUAGAUCAGGACUCAUGGAGCACAAUAAAAUGAAAAUAUUAAGCAAGAUGUUUGGACCAAGACAGUGAUGUGGCCUGUAAUUGAGUGGUAUUGGAAACACCCGGACUCUGAAAGUAGCAUUGGUGGGAUUAUUAUCUUACUGCUCGAACUUAAAAAUCCAGAGUAUAUUAUAUGGAUGCAUGCCCAUGCACAAUAAACCUACACAUUGCAGUC